ensembl:lncRNA
UCCAGGUGGCAGCACUCAAGAGUCAAGAGCUGGGUUCUACCAGGAAAAUUAAGACCGCAGGCCUUGGGCUAAGGUACCUCCUUUUAAGAGGAACACAGAGGCUCUUUAACUGGCAUACCCCAGGAGUCAACUGUGAGGCAGUCUUUAAAGAUGUGAACACGCAAUGAAUAUGGAGGCCAGUGUGUCCUCAGUCGAAAAAGGCUGUGCUCGCUACCCGUCCGUGAGUCCUGCACUGCUACUCUUUAGAUGAACCUGCCUUGCCCAAUUACCCCCUGCUGACCUCAGAUGCCAGCUAAAUCGAAUGUGUGAAGACUCCCGAUGGACGCGUGGCGGUCAGGUCACACACAUGUACCGAGGCUCAUGGGAGCUCUAACACUGUAAAGGUUUCUGUUUUCCUAAGAGCAGUUACCAAGGUUACCUUUCUAAAACACUUUCCGUUUAAUGGCGGUUGUAUUUCACUGCCCUUGUGGACCACUGCUCAACUUUAGGAGUGUCCUGGGGAGCCUAAUAAACUGCUAUAUGACACAGUACAAUACCGC